rnacentral:rRNA from 1 species
AGAACGAACGCUGGCGGCAUGCCUAACACAUGCAAGUCGAACGAAGCCUUCGGGCUUAGUGGCGCACGGGUGCGUAACGCGUGGGAACCUGCCUUUAGGUUCGGAAUAACUCUCCGAAAGGGGUGCUAAUACCGAAUAAUGUCUUCGGACCAAAGAUUUAUCGCCUUUAGAUGGGCCCGCGUUGGAUUAGCUAGUUGGUGGGGUAAAGGCCUACCAAGGCGACGAUCCAUAGCUGGUCUUAGAGGAUGAUCAGCCACACUGGGACUGAGACACGGCCCAGACUCCUACGGGAGGCAGCAGUGGGGAAUAUUGGACGAUGGGCGAAAGCCUGAUCCAGCAAUGCCGCGUGAGUGAUGAAGGCCUUAGGGUGUAAAGCUCGUUUUACCGGGAUGAUAAUGACAGUACCUGGAAGAAUAAGCUCCGGCUAACUCCGCGCCAGCAGCCGC